AUUGAACGCUGGCGGCAGGCCUAACACAUGCAAGUCGAGCGGAUGAAGGGAGCUUGCUCCUGGAUUCAGCGGCGGACGGGUGAGUAAUGCCUAGGAAUCUGCCUGGUAGUGGGGGAUAACGUCCGGAAACGGGCGCUAAUACCGCAUACGUCCUGAGGGAGAACGUGGGGGAUCUUCGGACCUCACGCUAUCAGAUGAGCCUAGGUCGGAUUAGCUAGUUGGUGGGGUAAAGGCCUACCAAGGCGACGAUCCGUAACUGGUCUGAGAGGAUGAUCAGUCACACUAGAACUGAGACACGGUCCAGACUCCUACGGGAGGCAGCAGUGGGGAAUAUUGGACAAUGGGCGAAAGCCUGAUCCAGCCAUGCCGCGUGUGUGAAGAAGGUCUUCGGAUUGUAAAGCACUUUAAGUUGGGAGGAAGGGCAGUAAGUUAAUACCUUGCUGUGUUGACGUUACCAACAGAAUAAGCACCGGCUAACUUCGUG
rnacentral:rRNA from 1 species